UGUGUGCUACAAGGAGUACGGAGGCCUUCAUUCUCCUAAGUUGUUUUCGAUGAUGGAACUUACAAAUCGACAAUCGGCUCUGUUAGAUUUUAUCUAGUAUAUUUGAAAUAUUUAGAAAAUAAAUUUUGUAGAUUUUUAAUAUUAUUUACCUAGCGAUCAAAGAAUUCAAAAUCAUUUAAUAGGUAAUAUGUCCCGUUUGUAAGUUCAACGGUGUAGAAAUAUUCAAAUCAGACGAAAUUUUGAUAAAAAAAUUUUUAUACUACCUACAGCAAGAUCAAUAUUUUUGAUUAAAAAUUUUUGUACUACAUCAUAACUUUUU
rnacentral:lncRNA from 1 species